UGCAUUAAGCUUCACUCAGAGAGAAACAAUGCAUUUUAUCAUAGGGCCGGACAGCUACAUGCACAAGAUGCUACCUGCAGAGAUUGGUUUUUGCCCAGAUGUGCAGGAGAGAUGCACAGAGAGGAAGAAAUGCAUACAUGUGUGCAGAUUUUGGCAUGUGCACAAGAAGCCUGGAAGGAUUUUCUUUGGAUCUACAGUCAAAAUGGAUUUCCGAGAGGAAGCUGUCUGAACACACACCUCUUCCCUGUGCUACAUACGGUCCCAUCUCUGCCAGCCAGGUUGUCAGGAAAGUGAUCAGCACUGGCUUCAACUCUGGCUAGAGCUCUUUGGCCAAUGUGACGGGCAGAAAACUGGAAUGAGGACAGAAAAGCACCUCAGAGGUUUGAAGAGUCGCGUCUCUCACCACCUUGCUGUAGGUUUUCUGAAUACUUCUGAGUUUAGGAGCAUUUUUUCUCAACAGGCAAGUCAGGAGCUGCUAAGAUAAACCAUGGCAGUAAGCUCGAGCCAGUGUUCGUAUUUGCCAUUGAUCGGCCACCAAGUGCUUGCUAUGUGCCAUGCAUUGUGCUAAGCACUAUCUCAUUUAAUAUUUACAGCAAUCUUAUGAGGUAGAUGCUACUGUUAUCUCCAUUUUACAGAUGGGGAAACUGAGGCACAGAGUUCCACAGCUGGUAACUUGAGGAAUAGGAAUUCAACCACUGGACAGUCUGGCUGGAGUUUUUUGUGGCAGGAGAAAAUAUGCUGUCUAAAUUUGCCUUGGGAAACCAUCAUGGUGGUCGCAAAACCACUUCUACGGCUUGCCUUGACCUAGCAGGAAUGAAGAUAUAAAGAAAGAAUGAGCGCGUCAUGGUUAUGAUGGGAUGAUGAUGUCUGUUGUGUUGUUUGGUGUCAGUUUCUGUAACGCCUUUCAAUUUCAAUCAAGGCUAUUAUCCUUUCCUCUGUUUUAGUGAAGUUUCCUAGAAGUAGAAAAUGGGAGUGUAUUGGGCAUCUCAGAGUUUUCAGCUGAACUGAAGGGUCUGAUGGUAACCUUACCCCCAAAUCCCUGAGAGAAAAGCAGGGAGUCCCUGCUUCAGCUCUGCUCAGAAGAGCCUCCCUCACAUGGUGGUUUCUGUGUCACUAGACUGGUUAACCAAAUGGUUCUUCUAAAUACCCAACUUUUAAUAGAAACUUCUGUGGCUUGGAUUAUUAAAGUCCAAACAUGCUUAUUUAAUCGUGUUUCAAGUCCAUCUAUCUUUUUUGAGUCUAAGGAAGACUCACUCGGUCAGAAGGAGUAGAGGGAAGAGGAUUAAUACAUGAUUUUCUUUUUCCCCUUUUUCUUUUAACUUAGGCUGAGACUUAUUUGAAUGCCUGUUUCAUAUGGAGCUUUUAAGUGUAACAGUUGUGAGUGAAAUUGCCCCUUUUAUUUUCAAGGUAAUUGAAUUCCAUUUUUCACUUUCCAUUUCCCUCUAGAAAAAUCAAAACGUUUUCAGAGCUUGGCUUCUUAGUGGGUGAUUUUCUAAGGUGGGAACUUUAGAACCGUAAAACAUUCUAGUGUGGCAAAGGCAUUCAGGAACCGGAUGACCAGGCCCCUUCUCCGCAGGUGAACAGCCUCCACCAGCCGGUCUUAGAGAACAUGUUGAUUUCACUGUGUUUUUAUUUGAAACACCAAAGAAAUGCCCAUAUCUUGUCCUUGGGCCAGGGCUGUGGGUUAGGGGAGCUGGGUUUCUGUCCAGAAUCUUGUCAUCUGUAGGGCAGCUGAGGGGCAUUAUUACCCAGAGGUCCCUGGAAACCUGUGCUAAAUUGGUUUGGAUCAGUGUCCGUGAAAAUGUUGGACAAAGGAGAGUCGAUUUUAGCUGACACCUGGACACGACUUUAAAUAACACUGUAUCACAGAGUGACAUAAUGAUUGUCCUCCCAACUCUUUUUCGGUCUUUCCGAUUAUGUUAGGGACAAAGUCUCAGUUUGGUGCUGUUGUGGUCGAACUAUCUUCUCAUCUCUGUUUUUUAAAGACAGGCAGAUCAAGCCUUACUCCUAGGGCUUUAGAAGGUAAUAGUUUCUGAUUUGGAUUUAAUCACAUUGUUUUAUUUCCUUUUUAACAUUUUUAUGACAACUUUUGCUUUAUAGCAGUUUUAAAGGUAGGAAAAAAUUCUCAUUUGAAAACAAGUUGGUUUGAGAUGUUUUUCACUCUUACAUAAAAGACCCACCUUCACAGCGUAUGAGCUUCUAAAGUUGGGGAAGCAGUGGCUUAGGUGGGCAGGCAGGAAAUUCAAGGAGGUUGGUUUCUGCCAAAGUCAGAGAUGAUUGCCACUUACUGGAAGGCUGUGUUGGAACAGAGUGGGCACAGGCAUUGGGAGCAGAGCUGAUUUCCAAUCUUCCUGCUGCCCUCACUGCCUGUGUGUGCCGUGGCCUUCUUGAGCUUUAAGUUUUCUCACCUGUGGAACAGGUUUCAUGAGCAGUUGGAAGAAAGCAAAUGAGCUUCAUUUUCUACAACAGGGUGGGUGGUGUAGUUGAUAUUCACCCCAAAGGUGCAGGAUCCCCACUUCUGUUUAUUGCCAGCACUCUGAGUUUGCUUCUGGAUGGAAGGGGAAGAUGGACUAGAGCUGAUGCCUCCUGCACCCUGGUGAAGAAAUGCACCCUGAGGCCAGAAAAUAGUACAAACCCAUCUGGCUGCAACAGCCCAGCAGCAUGAAGAUCAAAGUCACGUAGUAGAGCCAGAGAGAAAUUUGCCCUGGGCCUAAUAUUCAUGAAGCCUUUCCAAUUCAGACUCGGUAUUAUUGCCAAGUCGGUGUGUUUGGGAGAAAUCAGAAGCCAACACACUAGAAAAGUUGCAGGAGAUUCCUAGGGGAACCCACAAAGUCAGUUCCUUGCCAGAAACCUGCUCCUCCAGGUGAAUCCGGUGCAUCGGAUGGGCUCAGAUGCACAGGUGGCGCAAGCAGACCUCUACUGAGAAGAACAACAGUGGAAGGCAGAUGAAACUCACAUUUUGGAGUCUGAGAGCCAUGCGGGCCCACCCCAGUCACGUCUACCCCUGGUCGGUGACCAGAGAAUCCUUUAGCAGCAACAGCAGGGAUGUUUAUUUCACUGGUAUGUAUAAAGCGACUGAUUGAAAACAAGCUGUAUGCCCAACAACUUGGAACUGGUUAAAUGAUUUUUGGUUCAGCCACACGGUGGAAUAUCAUGCGGCCAUUAAGAAUAAAUAAAAAAUCCUAUACUUUCCAUAUUCAACUUUAGACUGCAAACAACUGAAACAACACCUUCACAAUUAGGCUUCCUCAGAUUAGAACGUGAAGUCAAGUCAACGUGUGUCAGAAAGCUAACAACAGCUAACUGUUUGUUGUGGUGUUCUGAGUAACUUGUAUUAUUUUUCAGUUUUUUUUCCCAUUCCUAAUGUGCAAAUGUACUAUUUUUAUUGUAAAAAAACACACACAUUUGUAAAGAGCAAUAACAUAAAUCUCUGCAUAGGCAAAUUGAAAGGAAAUCAGACAAAAUGA